GACGAACGCUGGCGGCGUGCUUAACACAUGCAAGUCGAACGGAAAGGCCCUUCGGGGUCCUCGAGUGGCGAACGGGUGAGUAACACGUGGGUGAUCUGCCCUGCACUUUGGGAUAAGCCUGGGAAACUGGGUCUAAUACCGAAUAGGACCACGCGCUUCAUGGUGUGUGGUGGAAAGCUUUUGCGGUGUUGGAUGGGCCCGCGGCCUAUCAGCUUGUUGGUGGGGUAAUGGCCUACCAAGGCGACGACGGGUAGCCGGCCUGAGAGUGUGACCGGCCACACUGGGACUGAGAGACGGCCCAGACGCCUACGGGAGGCAGCAGGGGGGAGUAUUGCACAAUGGGCGCAAGCCUGAUGCAGCGACGCCGCGUGAGGGAUGACGGCCUUCGGGUUGUAAACAUCUGUCAAUAGGGACGAAGCGCAAGUGACGGUACCUAUAGAAGAAGCACCGGCCAACUACGUG
rnacentral:rRNA from 1 species